UUCUUCCCCCCCCCACCCCGCCCCGUUCAAGCAAUGCAGGGUUAUGUGAGGUAUUUUUUAAUCAAAGAAAGAAAACUGAACUAAUUUUAAACUAAAAACAGACAAAAGAGGUGAUGUCUCAGGUCGGACUUAUAAAUAAAUUCUCAGGUUCGAAUGACACAUCAAUUCUGAGUCCUAGAAAGUGUGAUGAGAAUUCAAGUGACCACUGGGAAAAUAUGCACAAAGCUCAUAUCCCAAUGAUUCGGGUCAGAAGCUUAAGCAGAGCUCCCCACUGUUGCCUGUACAAGGUUUCACUAAUGGUCUGAUAAUGGGGAGGGGUGGUCGGCAAGGAGGUUCUCCCAAUACUUUACAGUGGUGUGAGCAUGACAGCCACUGAUUAAUUACUGCCCUGUUAUCAACUCACACAUUACUGAGCAACUCUCACUGUCUCCACAAUGGUCUCAUCGUUAAGGAACACUGCCUUAGAGAAUUCUUUAAGACGACGUAUUAAAAAUCCUUGGACUCUACCACAAAUUUUCAUAAAACUUAUCUUUCAGAUGAUCAAAGUGGAGAUUGGGAAAUAUUCGAAAGAUGGAAAAACAGGAGAGGGGAAUAACAUGGAUAUUUCAACCUUUGAUUUCAUUGUAGGCAGUACUAAAAAGUCGUAAUAUUACCAUAGUAAUCACCUUAAAAAUAUUAACAUAUGAAGUUUUAUCUGUUUUUACUUUUUUCCUUGUUUUCAUUCUUCAACCUCAUUUUACCCUCUACCCUCACUCCCUUGCCAUUUACACGUAUAACAGUGCCUAAGGAGGGGGGUUCCUGUUGUUUCAAAAUACACUGAAAACUGAACACUGAGGCUAAUGGCAAAAAAAAAAAAAAAUCACUUAGCUUUAAAUGAACAUCUCAAAGUAGUGCUCAUUAAUAUGUGCUUCUAUGGAAACAACUCUUUCUGGAUGUCAGCUUAAGCUUCUCCAUAUGAUUUUUCUCAAAGGCUCCCUUUUAAAACCAUCACUACCAUUUAUUAUCUUCUUGUUAUAUAGACGGUUACUUUUGUUUCAUCACAAAUCUCUGCCUGCUUAUUAGCAGCCCUGCCACCACUAUCAGAUGACAUUUGUUUUACUUAAUGUAUGUAGUUUUAGAAAAAAAUUAUAUAACUGCUAUUACUGCAUUAUAUGAAAAAAUUCCAACGUACAUUUAGCUGACACUGCAUCAGCUGCUAUUUAAACUGGGCUUAGCUAAUGGACUUUUAAUGUCAGCAGGGUUACGUGCAGUUACUGGCUAUUAGCAGAAAUGGCUCCUUUCUAUAAAAAUCACUUUUCCUCAAGUGUGUUGUUUGAACAUUCCUUUCCCUAAUUUAGUGACUGUCACUGAAUGCAAAACAAACUCAAGGACUGUGGAAUCCGCUCUUAUCUUUAAGACUCUCUUUUUAACCUUGCAAUUCAGCAUUAAACAGGCAACCCCUCUCAUUAGCAUUCAGACUUGUAAUCACAAAACUUUGUGGGGGCAUUAUUAUUUGCUAUUCUUAUUAGAGUAUUGCGUAUUUUCUUACGAAAACCCCACAUCAUACAUGAACAUACGAUAUGUCAGAGAACUCAGGAAACAAUAUCCCAAAAGCUAGAAUUUAUUCAUAUCUUUGAAAAUCCUAGUUCAGAAACGCCAAGUGAUGUGGAAACAUAUGGUGACAAUUAACAUAUAUUUACAUAUUGAUGUAUCAUAUAAAUAAUUUGCAUUUACUACAAUAUGAAAAAUAAGCAAAAAAGCACAUUAUCAAUCCACGUGGAAGUAAAUUUUUAUAUUCUUUCCUUAACAACCACCUUUCUUUCUCCUCAACUAACUUUAUCUUUGUUUAAACAAAGGUAUCAAUGAGUGUAAGGGAGAAAUCUGGAAAGAAAGCCACCUGUAUGGCAUCUGAGGGAGUCCAAGAAAGUUAAACAUUCCGCAGCCUGGAAACUUGACUUCAUUUUAUUCAGAAGUUGAAACAAAUCAGAACUGAAUUCAGGGGAAAAAACAACACAGCUGACUUUGCCUUCAAUCGGCCCAAUCAUGAGAGGUCACCUCAGGUAGGGUGCUUACAGAGCAAACACUGUCUCUCCUGCAGAGGGGUCUUAGGUGUGAAUGAAAGAUGUUACUCGUGCAGCAGGAAAGCCGACCUUCUCCUUCGGUCAAAAAAAUUACAGUCUACUUUAUAGGAAAAGGUGGAAGUUCUCCACAUGUUUGAAAUAAGCCAGUGAACAAGGAGAUCCCCCCGUAUCUGCCACGUGGAGGACAGGAGAAAUCUGUUUCUAUCAGAUUAGCCACUGCACAAAUGAGGCAGAGAUGUCUCUCCUGAAAACUACUGUCAAUAGUUUAGCUACUGAUCAUCUUUUUACAGAAGAGAAUAUAAUUUUUCAGUUAGAAACCAGUGGUGAAAACUAAUUCCCCAUUCAAUGACUGCCCUACGAAUAUUUUUAUUAAAAAAAUUUGUUCUCAUUUGUUUGAUAGGUUCUGUUUGUAUUUUAAGGAUAUUGCCAAGGCUGUUUGAAAACAAACUAUCCUAAAACAAACAAACAUAAAAAAGUUACACACAUACACACUUUGUUGUUCAUAUAUAUAUAUAUAUAUAUAUAUAUAUAUAUAUAUUCACUCACAGAGAACUAAAUUUGUCUACUUCUUGUAACUCUUCAUUCCAUUAAGAGUCUGCCUGGAAAUACCCUCAUAGGAAAUAAUUCCAUAGUUAUUUAAUUCAAUAAAAAUGACAUGUGUAUCUUUCAUGUGCUCAUCAUUUCCAAUAAAUCCAAUAAACCGAUUACCACCAUUCCUACUGGGAAAACAUACCUAUUGCUAAAAUUUUUUUCGAGCCAUCCUUUUGUAUUUUUUCAUCAAGUUAUAGUAAGUAAAGUUUAACUUUCUCUACGUGGUCCUUUUAAAUAUAAACAAAAAUAAAUAUCUAUUUUGAUCAAUGUCUUUUCUGGGACAAUUGUCCUUAAGAACUCCCAUAUAAUCCUAAGAAUGCUAUUCGAUUUCUGAUGUAUAGGUGAGAUGUAACAUUCAACAUUGAUACUGUUAUUAACGGCAAUGUUUAACAGAGUAGCUGAGGAAAUAGCAAUGCAUUUUAUAGAGAUCACCAAAGGAUUCUAUGUAUUAGUAUGCCACUGAUUGAAGUCUACAUUUCUCAAACAUGUAUAUCCUACUCAAACAGGACCAAGUAAAGUGUAACUUCUUUCAAAAAUACACCUUUUAAAUACUUUCCAAAUUCUUUUGCUAUGUUAACUGAAAUAGGUGCAUAUCCAUUUUAUUAUUAUUCUAUUUACAUAAUAAAAUUUCAAGUCAGAGUGCCCACUGAAUAAUAUUAUGAUGAAAUACUGACCCUAGGUCUCUUUUCCAGAGAGCACAAACAAUAAAUCAUUUGAACAUGCCUGUUUUUCCUCAGCUUCUGAGAACAGUGAAAUGGGCUUCUGUUUUCCACCAAGCUGUCUGCUCUGCUGAUGGUGGCUGUAGUAGCCCAGGAGGAAAAUGUCUUAGGCUCUUUCAAUCCUUGAAUUUGACCCCUAACACAUUUUAAAGCUUAUAUUCUUUCAUCAUCCUAUGGAAAUCCAGAAGGAAGAAGGGAAGAUGCUAAAGAAAAGGACAGGUAACAUAAUUGCUGUUUUAUUUAGCAUGAUUUCAAGAUUACUGCUUGCCAAACUUGCCUACUUCCACUGGGUGGCUACAAUGUGUAUAUUUGGCAAACUCUUUAUUCAUGGAAGAUAAAAUAUAUCAUUUUCUCUUAUCAAAAGCUAAAUUCAAAUGUCAACAUAUUUCACACAGAUAUAGUGCUCAAAGUGAAAUUACCGUUAUUUGCUAUGACUUUUCAAUCAUCAAGUUUUUAUUGUGGUGGUAAUCUUGUUUGGUCUGGAUUAGAGAUAACACAGGUCUCUGACAAUCAUGUAUAAUAAAACAACAGUAGGGCCUUUUCUUCACUGACUAUCACUUUUAGUUUCUGUAAAAGUU
rnacentral:lncRNA from 1 species